GUCUGAACCAGACUCAUUUUGUUUGUUGGCUUUGAUUUACAAUUGGAGUCAUCAGUGAACCAGGGCAGAAAAGAAGAAUGAACUCCUGGAGAGUUUCCGUAGUGAUCCUGUGGUUUCAGUUAAGCUGGGUGAGGAGCCAGCAGAAGGAGGUGGAGCAGAGCUCUGAGUCCCUCAGUGUUGCAGAAGGAGCCAUUGCCUCUCUCAAUUGCACCUACAGAGACCGUGCUUCUUCGUCCUUUGCAUGGUACAGACAGUAUUCCGGGAAAGGCCCUGAAAUGCUGAUCCUCACAUUCUCCAGUGGUGACAAAGAAGAAGGAAGAUUUACAAUGAAGGUCAAUAAGGACAGCCUCUAUGUUUCCCUGAUCAUCAAGGAUUCUCAGCCGCGUGACUCAGCCACCUACUUCUGUGCAGUGGACACACAGCACUCCCCAGGCACCUGCAGCCUGUACCCAAACCUGCUGGGGCUCCAGGAAAGCCUUCUAUAG